AGACGUCUACAUUAGAUACCCCCGUAGUCCCAGCCGUAAACUAUGCGCGUUAGGUGUAUCGGUGACCACGAGUUACCGAGGUGCCGAAGGGAAACCGUGAAACGUGCCGCCUGGGAAGUACGGUCGCAAGGCUGAAACUUAAAGGAAUUGGCGGGGGAGCACAACAACGGGUGGAGCCUGCGGUUUAAUUGGACUCAACGCCGGACAACUCACCGGGAACGACAGCAAUAUGUAGGCCAGGCUGAGGACCUUGCCUGAAUCGCUG
rnacentral:rRNA from 1 species